CCUACGGGAGGCAGCAGUAGGGAAUCUUCCACAAUGGACGAAAGUCUGAUGGAGCAACGCCGCGUGAGCGAUGAAGGCCUUCGGGUCGUAAAGCUCUGUUGUUAGGGAAGAACAAGUACCGGAGUAACUGCCGGUACCUUGACGGUACCUAACCAGAAAGCCACGGCUAACUACGUGCCAGCAGCCGCGGUAAUACGUAGGUGGCAAGCGUUAUCCGGAUUUACUGGGCGUAAAGCGCGUGCAGGCGGUCGGGUAAGUCGGACGUGAAAGCUCCUGGCUCAACUGGGAGAGGCCGUUCGAUACUACUUGACUAGAGGGCAGGAGAGGGAGGUGGAAUUCCGGGUGUAGCGGUGAAAUGCGUAGAUAUCCGGAGGAACACCAGUGGCGAAGGCGACUUUCUGGUCUGUAACUGACGCUGAGGCGCGAAAGCGUGGGGAGCAAACAGGAUUAGAUACCCUGGUAGUCCACGCCGUAAACGAUGAGUGCUAAGUGUUAGAGGGUUUCCGCCCUUUAGUGCUGCAGCUAACGCAUUAAGCACUCCGCCUGGGGAGUACGGCCGCAAGGCUGAAACUCAAAGGAAUUGACGG
rnacentral:rRNA from 1 species